CUCUUGGAACUUUUCCAUUUGGAAGUAAUUUUAGUAACAUUGGAGGGUUUACAUCAGGAUUUCUUCUUGGAUUUGUCAUUUUGACUCGCCGUCAGCAUCAUUGGCUUAAUCUAAACAAGUCUAAUACUUCCCAGAAGCAAGAAUCUUAUCAAUAUGCGCUUCGGAUUAUCUCUUUUGUGCUACUUAGUGUUGGAUUGGUCGGCGGCGGCGUCUUGUUCUUUAAAGGGGUGGACUUGAAUGAUUACUGCUCUUGGUGCCAUUAUAUAACCUGUGCCCCUCCGAGCUGUAAACCAGGCUACAUUUCUUGUGAGGAUUACCAGAUCGGAAACAAACUUAACGUGACAUGUUUGAACAAUGGAAGAAGUGGCAUUUUUCUCUGUCAAACCGUAACCCUGACGAGCAGGCUGAAUCACUAUGUUAUCGCCUUUGCGGUAAAUAACCAGACACAGAAAUACAACAUCUCUUAGGGAGAUUUCAUUCAAUAAACUUAUGUAUAUGAUUUGUUCUUACUGUUGCUGCUGACAAUAAGAAUGAGUCACUGUGGUUGUUGCCAUAGUUGUUAUCUCGUUAUAUAUAUUUCUCCUUGCUAUGAAAUUACUGCAGGAUGUAUAUUUAUAAGUUUGUCUGAAGGAA